rnacentral:rRNA from 1 species
UGAGUAACGCGUGGAUAAUCUGCCCUCUACUGGGGAAUAACUAACCGAAAGGUUAGCUAAUACCGCAUGAGACCACAGUCGCUACGGCGACAGAGGUUAAAGAUUUAUUGGUAGAGGAUGAGUCUGCGUGGGAUUAGCUAGUUGGUGGGGUAAUGGCCUACCAAGGCGACGAUCUCUAACAGGUCUGAGAGGAUGACCUGUCACACUGGAACUGAGACACGGUCCAGACUCC